GUUUAAGCUGCAUCUUUCUUGUUGAUAUUAAAGCUCAUUGUCUUGUUCAGCAUGGGCUGUACCUUUAAGUUUUACACAUAGCUGAGAACCAUUAUCAUAUCCUCCUUCAGCAUUCUCCUUUUCCAAAUCUCGGUGAAGGAGACACCCGCAGGUACGUCCCCGUUCUCCUCAUCUUGACCACCGUCUAAGUUUACCGACUUCAUGCGGACUGCAUGCAAAGCAAGGCUUUUGGACCUGGAAGGCAAGUAAGGAAGGAAAAGUGCUUUGGAACAGAGCCACGCUGAGGACCCCAGCUGCCAGCCUGAAAGGACCAGGGUCACGAAGGAUAAGGCAGACGAUGCAGGAGAAAUCAAGUGGAAGAUGGCAAAUAAGAAAUAGUUCCAGAAAGGUUGGUUUGAAAGGGUCCAGCACAGCAACUGGUCCAGGAAAGCUGCGUGUGAGGCAGACACCCCCCUUUGUCACCCAGAGCAGCAUCAGGAACAGGCUUUUAUUCGUAUUUUAUUCUGGUGAAGCAAUACGAAUUGCGCCUGCCUUGUGGUGAGAGCACCUGUAUUGCAUCAACUACCUGAGCUCCUAAAAGCAGCAAUUUAUCACCAGAAAUAUUAAAAACUGAUAGCAACAGCAAAACAAAAAGUGUGGAGGAACUUGUGUUUUAAGUUCCUUCCACUGCAGAUAGAAGGUCAAACUCUACCCUCUCCUCCUCUCAUAGGAUCCACACAUAAAAUUGUAUUUUGCUUCUGUAACCAUGCACAUACACAGCUGAAACAGCUUCUACCCCUCAGCAAAGCAAGUCCUUAAAGGGGAAUUUUACAGAGAAAUAGAGAAACACGACAACAACGUUCUAACGAAAACCUUUUCCUGUUGUUUUUUUUUUUUUUUUAGGGUGGGUAGAUCCGCUCUAGUGAUAAAUGUCAUGCACAGAAGAUAAUAAGGAAUAGGAAAACCAUAGCAUUUUAGCAAAUAAAGUAAUUUCUCUAUCAUAAAUCAAGUGACCAGUCCUGGGCUGCAAGAGUAAUUAUUACGCUUUGUUACUGAAA